rnacentral:rRNA from 1 species
UACGUAGGGGGCGAGCGUUGUCCGAAGUUACUGGGCGUAAAGCGCGCGUAGGCGGUUUCUUAAGUCUGGGGUGAAAGGUUCAGCGCUCAACGCGAACAGUGCCUUGGAUACUGGGAGACUUGAGUCUGGGAGGGGGCAGUGGAAUUCUGGUGUAGCGGUGAAAUGCGUAGAUAUCAGGAGGAAUACCGAUGGCGAAGGCAGCCCCCUGGGCUGAGAUUGACGCUCAGGCACGAAAGCGUGGGGAGCAAACAGG